AUUGAACGCUGGCGGCAGGCCUAACACAUGCAAGUCGAGCGAGCGGCGGACGGGUGAGUAAUGCCUGGGAAUUGCCCAGUCGAGGGGGAUAACAGUUGGAAACGACUGCUAAUCCCGCAUACGAUUGGAUUGCCCAGGUGGGAUUAGCUAGUUGGUGGGGUAAUGGCUCACCAAGGCGAGGAUCCCUAGCUGGUCUGAGAGGAUUAUCAGCCAAACUGGAACGGGACCCCGGUCCCGACUCCUACGGGGGGCAGCAGUGGGGAAUAUUGCAAAAUGGGCGAAAGCCUGAUCCAGCCAUGCCGGGUGUGGGAAGAAGGUCUUCGGGUUGUAAAGCACUUUAAGUGGGGAGGCGUUACCCACAGAAGAAGAACCGGCUAACUCCGUGCCAGCAGCCGCGGUAAUUC
rnacentral:rRNA from 1 species